rnacentral:rRNA from 1 species
UACAGAGGUCUCAAGCGUUGUUCGGAAUCACUGGGCGUAAAGGGUGCGUAGGUGGCGUGGCAAGUCAGAUGUGAAAGCCCGGGGCUCAACCCCGGAACUGCAUCCGAUACUGCCAUGCUGGAGUACUGAAGGGGUGACUAGAAUUCUCGGUGUAGCAGUGAAAUGCGUAGAUAUCGAGAGGAAUACCAAAGGCGAAGGCAGGUCACUGGGCAGUUACUGACACUGAGGCGCGAAGGCCAGGGGAGCAAACGGG